UAUUCCUUUUGGUUUCUUUUAAUGACUUCUGGACAAUUUAAUUUCCAUUUUCUUCCAUCAGUUAGGUGGUUAUACAUUCUUUAUACUCUUAGUUGUGUUUAAAUUACUGUUACGUACAAAUCAGUCCAUAAUGAAAUGACCUAAAGCCAUAAUUAUUUACUCAUGAUUCCAUAUUUUCUGGACCCGAAAUUCAGUCAGGGCAUAAUACGGUGACUCAUCUCUACUCCAAAAUAUCUGAGGCCUGGCUAGGAUGGCUCAGAUAGGACCACAUGUUAUGGGACAUGAGGAUGGAGUUGGAGCUGCAUGACAAAAAAUACUGACAUGAGGAUGGAGAAAGUCUCGUGACAAAAAUAGAGGGAUGAAACUCAGGACCUUGCACUUGCCAGCUGGAUGAAAAGGAAGCAGCUUUGAGAGCAGGGAAAAGGAAAAAUCCAAACAGAACCUUCCAUGUAACUGGCUCAUACAAUCCAGGCAGCACAGAGCACACCUGGAUCGAACUCUGGACCUUGCACUUGCAAGGCAGGCACGGUGCUGCUGAGCUGAAUCCCCAGCCCUUGAACUCUAAUUCCUGCAAAACAUGGAAUCAGUUUUGUUUAAAAUCCCAAUUUCUGGCCUCUGUCAAAAAUCCUGACAUCUGGUAAUGUUGGAUCAGUGUUUCUGCCUGCCACUUAUUGGCAGGGCUGGAGUGUUCUGGCAACUCCUCAGGUAGACGCUGCCUGCCUGGGUCUGCCGCACCUGUGUUAUCACAAGGACUUGGAGAAAUUGGGGGCUCAUGCUUGCCUAGGAUGAGGACGUGUCUUGAGGUAAGAGGCAGUAGGAUUUCCGGGAUAGCUUUUUCAAGUUAAAGUGCAGUUUUUGAGUAUUUGAAGGCAAAGAAAUGAAGCAGAUGGGAAUAUUGUGGAAUCUCUUGACUGAACCAAUAGACAGGUCUUUGCCCCACUGCUGAGAUGGCACUAGUCACUUCUCACAUAGAUAUCAGGAUAUAAAUAUUUGGUAGCAAAAAAAAAAAAAAAAAAAAAAUUGGUAGCUACCUCCAGCCUAAACUUCUCCAAAGCAGGAGGCCUCAUCUCCUCUAUCAUUGUGCUUCUUGUUCAGCAUAGCACAUGGCACAAAACUGAUGCUUAAUAAAUAUUUAUGUAAUGACUAUAAGGCCAGAUGCUUAGAAUGUUCCCCGUCUCUAAAGUGAACACAACAAAGUACGUGCUGUUUCAAAAAAGAGUAACUCCAUUUUGUUGGACACCAUCUUUCCCCACUGUAUACCCAAAUCUUCCUUCAUUCUACUAACCCUUUCAGCUCCGGAGAAGUUCAGCUCCAACCACCAGCAAACUGAACAACAGGAAAAUCACUGGGCCACCUCUAGAGUCCCUUCCAGCAAUUAAAAUUAGCCUCACAAGGGCUAGGGAUUUAGCUCAGUGGUUCUGCCGCCUGCCUUGCAAGUGCAAGGUCCUGAGUUCAAUCCCUUGUACCAAAAAAAGACUCUCACGGGAAAUGAGCCAAAACUCUGCUCAGCCAGGAGGAGCACUUGCAUAUCUGAGCACCACGAAGUGUUUGAAUAGGGACACGCUUGACUUCUACAAACUCAGUGAAUAAUUCUCAUGUGAACCAGCUGCUUUCACUCUGAUAAAAGGAAACUAGUUUUUUUGUUGUUGUUAUUGCUGUUUUUUGUUUUUUUAUUUUUUGUGUUCCAACACAUUUACUUCUCCAGGAUAAUGAUGAGGAGAGUAAAUACUGGCUGUUCAUAACCCUACUUACGAACUGUGGAUUCCAAGCUAAGUGGCUUCCAGGCCCAGGCAGGUAAGGGACAUGAAUGGAGCCUGCUGGACAGCCACUCCCCAUUGCCAGGGACUGAAGCUAUGCAAGAUACAAUUUUCAAGAGAAGCCAGAUAUGCAGAUUUCUAUGGACAUUUCCUGAUUAAAUAAAACAGGCCAAAAUGAACAUUCAGCUCAAGCCUCAAGCCUCAGUGUUUUGAAAUCUAUUGUUCAUCCAGGUAGAGACUCACUUUUCCCCUGUGAAGUUACCUUCGUGCUCCGUGACUAGUAACAUAAGCUCCGCCAAACCCACUUCCCACACUACACAGGGCUCUGGAACCAUCUGAAACGAAAUCUUGAUUUUUCGUUGGCUUUAUUCUUAAUUAGGCAUACUUGAAUCUUUACAAAAACAGGAGCCAUAUAAAUGUAAGGUAGUUAACUCACAGAGU